GACGAACGCUGGCGGCGUGCCUAAUACAUGCAAGUAGAACGCUGAAGAGAGGAGCUUGCUCUUCUUGGAUGAGUUGCGAACGGGUGAGUAACGCGUAGUUAACCUGCCUUGUAGCGGGGGAUAACUAUUGGAAACGAUAGCUAAUACCGCAUAACAAUGGGUGACACGUGGCAUUUAUUUGAAAGUAGCAAUUGCUCCACUACAAGAUGUACCUGCGUUGUAUUAGCUAGUAGGUGAGGUAAUGGCUCAACUAGGCGACGAUACAUAGCCGACCUGAGAGGGGGCGCGGCCAAACUGGGACGGAGACACGGCCCAGACUCCUACGAGAGGCAGCAGUAGGGAAUCCUCGGGGAUGGGAGCAACCGUGAACGAUCAACGCCGCGUGAGUGAAGAAGCUUGUCGGAUCGUAAAGCUCUGGUGUAAGUCAGGAACGGAAGUGGGAGUGGAAAGUGCACACUGUGACGGUAGCUGACCAGAAAGGUACGGCUAACUACGUG
rnacentral:rRNA from 1 species